rnacentral:rRNA from 1 species
UGCAAGUCGAACGGUAACAGGUUAAGCUGACGAGUGGCGAACGGGUGAGUAAUGUAUCGGAACGUGCCCAGUCGUGGGGGAUAACUGCUCGAAAGAGCAGCUAAUACCGCAUACGACCUGAGGGUGAAAGCGGGGGAUCGCAAGACCUCGCGCGAUUGGAGCGGCCGAUAUCAGAUUAGGUAGUUGGUGAGGUAAAGGCUCACCAAGCCGACGAUCUGUAGCUGGUCUGAGAGGACGACCAGCCACACUGGGACUGAGACACGGCCCAGACUCCUGCGGGAGGCAGCAGUGGGGAAUUUUGGACAAUGGGCGCAAGCCUGAUCCAGCCAUGCCGCGUGCGGGAAGAAGGCCUUCGGGUUGUAAACCGCUUUUGUCAGGGAAGAAAAGGUUCUGGCUAAUACCUGGGACUCAUGACGGUACCUGAAGAAUAAGCACCGGCUAACUACGUGCCAGCAGCCGCGGUAAUACGUAGGGUGCAAGCGUUAAUCGGAAUUACUGGGCGUAAAGCGUGCGCAGGCGGUUAUGCAAGACAGAGGUGAAAUCCCCGGGCUCAACCUGGGAACUGCCUUUGUGACUGCAUGGCUAGAGUACGGUAGAGGGGGAUGGAAUUCCGCGUGUAGCAGUGAAAUGCGUA